rnacentral:rRNA from 1 species
GUAACGCGUGGGUAACCUGCCUCGUACAGGGGGAUAACAGUUAGAAAUGACUGCUAAUACCGCAUAAGCGCACAGUGCUGCAUGGCACAGUGUGAAAAACUCCGGUGGUAUGAGAUGGACCCGCGUCUGAUUAGCUAGUUGGUGGGGUAACGGCCUACCAAGGCGACGAUCAGUAGCCGGCCUGAGAGGGUGAACGGCCACAUUGGGACUGAGACACGGCCCAA